rnacentral:rRNA from 1 species
UACGGAGGAUCCGAGCGUUAUCCGGAUUUAUUGGGUUUAAAGGGUGCGUAGGCGGCCUAUUAAGUCAGGGGUGAAAGACGGUAGCUUAACUAUCGCAGUGCCUUUGAUACUGAUGGGCUUGAAUGUAGUUGAGGCAGGCGGAAUGUGACAAGUAGCGGUGAAAUGCAUAGAUAUGUCACAGAACACCAAUUGCGAAGGCAGCUUGCUAAACUAUGAUUGACGCUGAGGCACGAAAGCGUGGGGAUCAAACAGG